AUCUAGUCGUCAGGCUGGAAGCCCAUCCUUGACCUGUUUCUCUGCAGGCUCCAGACCUACAUUCCCACAAUAAGCCGUGUAGAUGUUACCUCCCAAGUGCAUCAGACCCGCACCCUCCCUCCUCUGCACCGCCUGCCGCCGUGGCCCAGGCACCAAUCACCUCUCACUGGAAUGACUCCAGAAGCUUCCUCGCCGGCUUGUCUGCUUGACCCACAUGCAGGAAAGGCGAACUCACAGCUCGCUCUUCCCCGCGACGCAUGUUGGUGUGUCUCCCGUUCUACUACCUUGUCCCAACCUGGAUCUUCUGGGGCUCACAGAGCAGCCCCUUGUAGCCGAACAGGUGAGAGCUUUCCAGUUUUCACCAGAUGGAUCAUGCUUUGGAGAAUAUCCUUGCACACGUGUUUUGCACAUUUUGGAGACCCAGAUUUGAGCCGCUUUCACCGGGAGACGUACUUGUGGAUGAACAACCCCCGGUGGGUGAGCGUAACUGGUCGUCAGCGACCCAACGCCCUCAGGGAUUCCGCAUUUUCUGCUUCUCAGCAAAAUACACAUCCCGCGGGGGCGUCCCAUGCCUUAGCGCUAAGGAUCCUCCUGGCUGCGUCGGCGUCUGUGGCAACGACCACAAACCUCAGCCCGGCAGCGGCCUGUGGCCCACAGAGACGCUCCUCUAGCUCGUCCCGUUUAACUUCUCAACGAUCACUUGCUCACGCACAGGACUCGGGCGACCCCCAGAAACCCGGGCCGCCUUGGAGGACCCCGCUUCUCGGCAGCCCGCAGCCCCGGCGUCCCUUGGGAGCCACGGGCCCCGGGCAAGGCUGACAGGCCGCCCACGGAGGACCUCGCCCUCUUCUCCGCUUCCUACCAGCCAGCCCGGGAGGCCUCCGCGUGCGCCAGCGUCUUCUGGUUUACUGUGUUCGUGACCGUUUUUGAGUAUUUCUGAGCCUAGUUUCUGGAAAUAGCUCCCAUAAAACAGUGGAUAGCAUCUGCCCCCCACCCCGCUCUCUCUCCUUCAGGCAGAAGCUCACCAGCUGCACGGUCUGUGUAGGUGUUUCCCACCCCAGGAAGGAGCAGCUGAUGGUUUCCCGCUGGCCCAGUGACUGCUCGAUGGUGACUGAGAGUCUCACAUUCUCCCCACACUGGGAUAGACACUUCACUUUUCCAUUUUUUUAAAUAAUAAAUUUAUUUUUUAUUGGUGUUCA
rnacentral:lncRNA from 12 species